rnacentral:lncRNA from 1 species
CUGAAUUGAUUUAAUAUUAGUUGAUUUAUAUAUACAAGGUUCCUAUAAAAUAAUUCUUUCAACUAUAUUAAAGAUUGCCCUUACAAAUGUUUUGAACAAAACGUACCAAUUUUGGUCCAGGACCUUGUGUAGACACACGCUUAAGAGAUUUUUGAUAGCUACUUUCCUCCAUCGUUCAUUACCCUUAAUAUACUACCUUUCCCUAAGAUAGGGAAAAACAUAAAGAGACCCAAGAAAUAAAAAUGACCUAUCAUUCAUUGUUCUAUUAUUCUUCUUGGUAGUUUUACAACACAUUAUGCAAUUUCUAGGGAAAACAGUUCGCUGCAUUUUGUUGGUAACAAGUCAAGUAAACAUAAAUUUGAGUCCAAGUUAAGUAUUAUGCCUUUUGAAGAUUUUAUUUCUGGUGUUCUGCACAGUGUCACCAGGUUUCCACGGCAAUAUAGCUGUAACAUUCCUUCUGAGAGAGCUUCCAUCAGGCACACUGGAUCGGAUUUAUGUCAUGGACCCCCACAAGGAGUCAGAUAUGUUUUUCUUUGCAACAAAACAAUGUCAUUGCGAGUACACCUGGACAAAACUUUCGGGAUCUGUAAAGAGACACAACUGUUUUACAGUUCGAUUGGAACUGGGGAGGAAUUUAAAAGAAUCACAGUAAGCCGUCUGGUCUUUUCCAGGAGGAUAAUCAACAACAUUGACUGA